rnacentral:rRNA from 1 species
CAGCCGCCGCGGGAAUACGAAGGGGGCUAGCGUUGCUCGGAAUGGCUGGGCGUAAAGGGCGCGUAGGCGGAUAGUACAGUCGGGUGUGAAAUCCCAAGGCUCAACCUUGGAACUGCCUUUGAUACUGUUUGUCUUGAGUUCGAGAGAGGUAAGUGGAACUGCGAGUGUAGAGGUGAAAUUCGUAGAUAUUCGCAAGAACACCAGUGGCGAAGGCGGCUUACUGGCUCGAAACUGACGCUGAGGCGCGAAAGCGUGGGGAGCAAACAGGAUUAGAUACCCGAGUAGUCCCUGUCUCUUAUAC